CAGGAAGCAUGGCUGGGGAGACCUCAGAGUUUUUACUCAUGGCGGAAGGCAACGGAAGGCAACAGAAGGCAAAGCUGGAGCAGGCAUACUCACGUGGCUGGAGCAGGAGGAAGUGGUCGGGGGAGGUGCUGCACACUUUUAAAAAACCACAUCUCCCGAGAACUGUAUCAUGAGACCAGCACCAAAGGGAUGGUGCUAAACUAGGGGUCCAUAACCCCUGAGCCAUGGACAUGCAGUGGUCCCUUGCCUGUCAGGAACCUGGCAGCACAGAAGGAGUCAGCAUCAUCUUUUAAAUGCAGUUGAAAUGAGAGAUGGGGAAACUGACAAUGUUAAUGAAUGGGAGAUAGAGGUGAGGAUACACAUUGCGAAUGAAGACAUGGGCAGUAACUUCUGCAACACAAUCUUGUGUCUAUAACCUGUUCUGAAUCCUGGCUCCAGGUCAAACUUAGACGAACGCCGCUGUUAAAUGACCUGCAACCUUUGCAAAACGAACUCUCUCUAGGAAUUGGCUGUCCUGUAAACAUGGUCGAGGUGGAUUUCUUUGGGUUCCUGUAUCUUCUAACUUUUUGUGGCAUCAGAGUGAGCGU
rnacentral:lncRNA from 1 species